UACGGGGGGAGCAAGCGUUAUUCGGAAUUAUUGGGCGUAAAGGGCGCGUAGGCGGCUUGGCAAGUGGAAGGUGAAAUCCCUCGGCUUAACCGAGGAACUGCCCUCCAAACUGCUUCGCUUGAGACCAGGAGAGGUGAGUGGAAUUCCCAGUGUAGCGGUGAAAUGCGUAGAUAUUGGGAGGAACACCAGUGGCGAAGGCGGCUCACUGGACUGGUACUGACGCUGAUGCGCGAAAGCGUGGGGAGCAAACGGG
rnacentral:rRNA from 1 species